GUUCUUCCGUACGACGCGGCGUUGGCCCCCCUCGCCGUCCUUUCGUCCUCUCCGCCUUCGUGAUGGUGCCUCUCCGCCUUCUCUCGCCUUGUUGCCUGUCUCGUCCGACGAAUCUCCGCCUUCUCUCUCCCUGUUGCCUGUCCCGUCCGACGGAUCUCCGCCUUCUCUCGCCCUGUUGCCUGUCCCGUCCGACGGCUCUCCGCCUUUUCUCGCCCUGUUGCCUGUCCCGUCCGACAUCCCGUCCGCCUUCUCCCGUACGCUCCGCCUUCUCUCGCCCUGUUGCCUGUCCCGUCCGCCUUCUCCCGUCCGAUAGGCAUGGCGCUCG
rnacentral:lncRNA from 1 species